GAGGGAAACCGAGUCCUGCUCUGGAGGCACGGAGGGACAGGCAUCCUGAGAGUCCGUCUGCAGGUGGCAGGAGUGUGGAGGCCGAGGACGGGGCCUCCUGGGAGCCAUCCAGGCAGGAGCCUGGUGAAGACACGGACAGUUCCAGAAAGCAGAGGGGCCUACCGUCCCACAGCACCUCACGAGCGGGUCCGCCCCUUCCUGAGCUGUCCUGGGCCGUGCGGCCACGCGGGUUUGCCUUCUCCAAGCUCAGUGGUCGGAUUGUGAACUUGUGCAGAGCAAAGCUCCCAGAACGUGGUUCUCAAGGCCUGUGGCUGGAGCUGCAGCAGCCCUGGGACUGGUCACAGAUGCAUCCUGGGGCCCAGCCCACGUCUCCUGGGCCAGGGGCUCGAGAGGCCUGCGUUUGGCAAGUGCACUCCCGCUCGCCGUGACAAGCUGAGGGGACAAGCGUUGCCCUUCUCCGUCGGCAGCCUUUUCCAGAUAAAAGACUCAGACUCAGACAGGGAGCCUGCUACCUGGAAGUCAUUCGGCCCCUUUGUCAGGAGGCCCUCCUAGACCGACGACCUAGGAGAACGUUUGAAAACCACAGCCCUCCAAGAGCCGGCAAGCAGCAACUGCAGGGCGGUUUUGAACCCUCAAUCCACAAAAGACCCCUUCCCCAUGAUUUGCUGUGUAAUAUAUUUAUUAUUGCUGUG
rnacentral:lncRNA from 1 species